rnacentral:hammerhead_ribozyme from 1 species
AUCCAACUGAUGAGUCUCAAAUAGGAUGAAACGCGCAUCGUGGAU